UACAGAGGUCUCAAGCGUUGUUCGGAAUCAUUGGGCGUAAAGGGCGCGUAGGCUGCGGGGCAAGUCGGGUGUGAAAUCUCAGAGCUCAACUCUGAAACUGCACUCGAUACUGCUUUGCUCGAGGACUGGAGAGGAGAUUGGAAUUCACGGUGUAGCAGUGAAAUGCGUAGAUAUCGUGAGGAAGACCAGUGGCGAAGGCGGAUCUCUGGACAGUUCCUGACGCUGAGGCGCGAAGGCCAGGGGAGCAAACGGG
rnacentral:rRNA from 1 species